GACGUAGGUGGCGAACGUUAUCCGGAAUUAUUGGGCGUAAAGGGUGCGUAGACGGCAGGAUAAGUUAUUGGUGGUAAAUCGAGGCUCAACCUCGUGGAAACUGAUAAUACUGUUUUGCUUGAGUGCAGGAGAGGUUAACGGAACUCCAUGUGGAGCGGUAAAAUGCGUAGAUAUAUGGAAGAACAUCAAUAACGGCGAAGGCAGUUAACUAUUCUGUUACUGACGUUGAGGCACGAAAGCGUGGGGAGCAAAACGG
rnacentral:rRNA from 1 species